GUCUGGUGAGGUGGUACAUACCUGCAAAUUCCAGCUCUCAGGAAAUCUGAGACUGGAGAAUCUCUUGAGCUCUGGAGCUCUAUACUGCACUAGAUAGGCCAACCAGAUGUCCAAACUAACUUUUCCAUUAAUAUGGUGAAGCCUCUGGGAAAAUGGGCCACCAAGUUGCCUUAUGAGGAGUUAACUGGCCUAGAUCAGAAAUGGAGCAGGUCAAAGUUCCUGUGCCAACAACAGUAGAGUUGGGCUCCCAAGUGGCCCCUAUACUUCCAGCCUGAGCAAGAGCGGUAGAUCUAGUCUUU
rnacentral:SRP_RNA from 1 species